GAGUAAGGUCAUGAAAUUUAGAUUGAUGGAAUUUUGCACUGGAGAUUGGCAAUUAUGAAAGAUAGGAUGAUCUCCGUAUCUUUCAAACUCUGCUUUGUGUUUAUUGGGGCCUCGAACAAAUCGCUACAUG
rfam:Beta vulgaris subsp. vulgaris chromosome 3, whole genome shotgun sequence.